rnacentral:RNase_MRP_RNA from 1 species
AAUUGUACUGUGGGGAAAGUCCCCGAACGAAGGGAAGAAAGUUCCACCCUUAAAUGGGAAGCUCCUCUUAGCCUCCUGUUCUGACGAAGACGGCAAUUGCUUGAGUCAGGGAGACUAUGGGCAGCGUUCGUUAUAGCACAGUCAUGCAAGUAGCGGUCUAUAUGGCCGCCAACUCAACGGGGCUUACUCUCCU